AAUUUCUAUAUGCUGAGACAUUUUAACUUCGUGUAACGUGGAAACUUAAUGUGCAUAUUAUAGUCAAUAUUUUUCUUUGGUUGCUAAUAAAAAAUAAAUUGUUAAGUAGAGAUAAUCUAGGCAAAGGAAGAAGGUUGGAUAGCAUUUAAUAUUUAUUUGAUGAAAAGAAUAGUCCAUUUCACACUUGUUGUUUGGGUGUUGUGUUGUGAGGUUGAUCUGGUCGGAGAUUUCGGAAGUUGUGGGAACUAUCGUGUGGAUUAGUAAGAAGAGUCAUUCUGUUUAAAUAUAUGUUUCUCUACUACUCUUUGGUCUCUACGAAAGUAAGGGAUAUUGUUAUGCUUUCAUAAUAUACAAUGGAGAGAUGCAAAACAAGUCAUCGGGGAGAUUUCAAGAACUCUAUACAAAUGAGAAUGAACUUAUGCAGCUAGAGUGCUAGAUGUGAUCAUGAAGAUAUUGGAAACAAAAGAAAAUGAGGUUGCAAGACUAGGAUGGGAAAGAUCUGCAAGAUAUAAGACUUGAGGCUAGCUUGCAGAGAGCCCGUGAGCAUACUCCACAGCGGGCGAACUAUAUGACAAGAAGUUCCAGCACUAAAGAAAGCAUGUUGUCCAUGAAGCCAACUGUAGACUUGGCUUUAUAGUAGCAUGAUUGAAUCAGCUAGAUUUGAUGUUAGCAUCUUUGGCGAGUGCGCUUCGAAUACGCUUGUCCCACUGGAUGUUUUGUUUUAAUCUCGUAAUAAAACAAGGAAACCUAUCUUCUAAAACAAUGUAAAUAUAUGGACCUAAUAUGUCAAUGCCCAGAGAGCAAAUACAUUUUGUGGACUACUUUUAUAUGUGAUCAUUUACGUUUUUACUAUGUUUCGAAAGAAGAAUCUAAUGGAUGGUUUUAUCGAAUGUUUAUUAGAGUCGACAUAGUGGUUAGAUAUUUUUCAUGAGAAUUCUAGAGAGCUUUCUUUAUUUUUCUACACUAGUAGAGAACUCACCUUCCAUCCACCCCUUUUAUCCCAGUUUAAAGUUGGUCCGGAACAAAAGGUUCACCAACCGGGACUAAAAUCCCCACGCCACUGGUGGGGGCCUCACUAGUCGGGACUAAAGAACCCCUUUAGUCCCGGUUGUAAAGACUAGUGUCUGGAGGGACCUUUUAUCCCGGUUGGAAACACCAACUGGGACUUAAACCGGGACAAAAGGGGGUUGUUUCCAACCGGCAUAAAAGGAUCCCUACCCUCAUUUUUCGUGUGCCCCCUCCAACUCCCCUCUCUCUCACGCGCAUUACCCUUAUCCUUAUCUCUUUGCCCCCGCGUGUUACUGGCCUCCCACUCUCCUUCUCUCUGACGUGCGUUACUGGCCUGGCUUCCUUCCUUAUCCCUUUCUUUCCCUGGCCUCUCACUAGCACCACUGCCCCUCCCCUCCCUACCGGCCGGCGUUGCUGCCCCCUCCCCUCCCUAACGGCUGGCGCCGCCGCCCUCUCCCCCUCACUCCCACUGCCACUGCCCCCUCUGCU
rnacentral:lncRNA from 1 species